rnacentral:misc_RNA from 1 species
GGAUAUAACAGGUUCUUUUAUUUAUUUGUUCUUAAUCAUAGGCCGGUAUAGAAGAUAUACCGACAGUCUUGCCAAUGGUUCAUUCGAAGGACGAGAGGAUGUGUUGUUUCAUCAAACUAUGGGAGACAAUAAUGCAAAGUUAUUUCUUAACUAUAUCAUACUUCCUGUGUAAGGAUGGUACUGGAUCCCAUCUGUCUUUAUAUCUAUCUUCCUUAUUCAUUGUAUCAUGUAACAAAAGAAGCAUGAGACCUCAAUAAAAUACAUUUUAAUGUAUUAACAGGGAUUGGGAUUAUCAGUUCAAAUGCUUAAGGCAAUUGAUAAUAUUAUUAUUUAACUGAUACGAAACAACUGAUUUGUUAAAAGAAGUUAUUGAGACUUCUGUAUGUAAAGGUCUACACAUGAGCAUCUUGUUAAACUGUUAUUGACACGACUCGACAAAGACUACACCCAAAGAGGUUUGAAGUUUUGCUGAGUUUUCCCUUACAAACUGUUGUGGAACAUCUAUGCGCACCAGAGUGACUGCUACCAAUCAUUUAUGGAUUCACUAUUUUGUAUAACUCACAUAGCAUCCAUUAACCAUAUCUGCUCAUCUGAAUGUGAAAACAGAAUUUUUUUCAACUAAAACUAUGUGUGUCAUUUGGAGAGUAUUUAGUUACUAACAAGCACUCUAGUGUUCCGGCGAUGCAGUGUUUGGCUGUUGUGUGCAUGCUCACAUGUCUGAGAUAGGAAGCUUCACGCUAGGGAGAGACAGCACUAUCAUUCACUCAGUGCUGGUGAAAGGUAAUGUUUCUUUUUGACUCUGCAUAUGUUGUGCUUAAAAACGUGUUUAUAUUCUUGAAUGUGAUGAAGUGUAGAAUUAGAUUAUUAUCCUGCUUCCAGCUUCAGUGUUGCUGCCAGGAUUUGAAAAAUAGGGCAGAUUUUCCUCCCUUAUUUUGUGAAUUAGGGGGGAUUUUUGAAAAACAAGGGGGAAUUCAUGGCAGUGUUCAGUGAACAAAUUAAACACACUGCCUGGCAGUG